UGAUGCACCAUUUGAAGCUUUGGUCAUGGAACAUCAGGAUAGGCUUUAAUCUAAUGUUAAUCUCUUACAUUCCAUAUAUUCCUUCAUUCCUAGAACGAGAGCACCCCCUAUAAAUGCUCAUUGCUCGGAUAGAAAUUUUGCUUACAAAAUGCUCGAGGAACUACACCAUCCACGGAUUAAGAGGUUGCUGGUUGGGUUUGCACGCACAUCGGAAUAUAAUGGUCCUAUGAAGCCAGGUGUCACACACCAUUU